rnacentral:rRNA from 1 species
UUGGGUAAGAUACAAUAAAGGUCACUAACUCUGAGCUAAGUUUCAUUUUAGUCACACUAUGGACAUUAACGAGAUAGAGAUAUUUGAUCAGGCUUUAUCUUGUAGCUAUUGGGACUUAUGUCUAAUUAACUAAUUGGUGAGACAAUAACUUACCAAAACAAUGAUCAGUAGUUGAUCCAAGUGGGUGAUCAAUCAAAUUGGGACAGAGACAUGGCCCAGACACCCACCAAAG